rnacentral:rRNA from 1 species
UCCGGCGGUUAUUCCGAGAGGGUCACACCCGUACCCAUUCCGAACACGGAAGUUAAGCCUCUCAGGGCCGAUGGUACUGCGUUGGCAACUUUGUGGGAGAGUAGGUCGCUGCCGGAU